AAAGGGUGUGUAGGCGGACAUUUAAGUCAGAGGUGAAAUCCCGGGGCUCAACCCCGGAACUGCCCCUGAUACUAUUUGUCUUGAAUACUGAUGAGGUGGGCGGAACGGGUCAUGUAGCGGUGAAAUGCUUAGAGAUGACCCGGAACACCGAUUGCGAAGGCAGCUCACUGGGCAGUUAUUGACGCUGAGGCACGAAAGCGUGGGGAUCAAACAGGAUUAGAUACCCGAGU
rnacentral:rRNA from 1 species